rnacentral:rRNA from 1 species
UACGAAGGGGGCUAGCGUUGUUCGGAAUUACUGGGCGUAAAGCGCGCGCAGGCGGCUAUCCAAGUCAGUGGUGAAAGCCCGGAGCUCAACUCCGGAACUGCCAUUGAAACUGUUUAGCUUGAGGACGAGAGAGGUGAGUGGAAUUCCCAGUGUAGAGGUGAAAUUCGUAGAUAUUGGGAAGAACACCGGUGGCGAAAGCGGCUCACUGGACCAUAACUGACGCUGAUGCACGAAAGCUGGGGGAGCAAACAGG